GGAUGUGAGGACGAUCUGGCUGAGACAUCUGUUGCCCCACUGAUCGCCAGGGUUGUUCCGGCUGACCUGGCUGGCUAGGCGGUGUCCCCUUCCUCCCUCACCGCUCCACGUGCGUCCCUCCCGAAGUUGCGCGUUCUGUCCAAGAACCCGGAUAGAGGAGGACCGGUUCCUGAGUCAAGGGUAUACGCUAGCUGCGCUCCCCUGCUAGAACCUCCAAACAAGCUCUCAAACACUGCCUUCCUGCCGGGCAGCGCGGUGUCCCAGUGUG
rfam:Fukomys damarensis contig126409, whole genome shotgun sequence.